GACGAACGCUGGCGGCGCGCCUAACACAUGCAAGUCGAACGAGCGAGAGAGAGCUUGCUUUCUCGAGCGAGUGGCGAACGGGUGAGUAACGCGUGAGGAACCUGCCUCAAAGAGGGGGACAACAGUUGGAAACGACUGCUAAUACCGCAUAAGCCCACGGCUCGGCAUCGAGCAGAGGGAAAAGGAGCAAUCCGCUUUGAGAUGGCCUCGCGUCCGAUUAGCUAGUUGGUGAGGUAAUGGCCCACCAAGGCGACGAUCGGUAGCCGGACUGAGAGGUUGAACGGCCACAUUGGGACUGAGACACGGCCCAGACUCCUACGGGAGGCAGCAGUGGGGAAUAUUGCACAAUGGGGGAAACCCUGAUGCAGCGACGCCGCGUGGAGGAAGAAGGUCUUCGGAUUGUAAACUCCUGUUGUUGGGGAAGAUAAUGACGGUACCCAACAAGGAAGUGACGGCUAACUACGUGCCAGCAGCCGCGGUAAAACGUAGGUCACAAGCGUUGUCCGGAAUUACUGGGUGUAAAGGGAGCGCAGGCGGGAAGACAAGUUGGAAGUGAAAUCUAUGGGCUCAACCCAUAAACUGCUUUCAAAACUGUUUUUCUUGAGUAGUGCAGAGGUAGGCGGAAUUCCCGGUGUAGCGGUGGAAUGCGUAGAUAUCGGGAGGAACACCAGUGGCGAAGGCGGCCUACUGGGCACCAACUGACGCUGAGGCUCGAAAGUGUGGGUAGCAAACAGGAUUAGAUACCCUGGUAGUCCACACCGUAAACGAUGAUUACUAGGUGUUGGAGGAUUGACCCCUUCAGUGCCGCAGUUAACACAAUAAGUAAUCCACCUGGGGAGUACGACCGCAAGGUUGAAACUCAAAGGAAUUGACGGGGGCCCGCACAAGCAGUGGAGUAUGUGGUUUAAUUCGACGCAACGCGAAGAACCUUACCAAGUCUUGACAUCCCUUGACAGGCAUAGAAAUAUGUUUUCUCUUCGGAGCAAGGAGACAGGUGGUGCAUGGUUGUCGUCAGCCCGUGUCGUGAGAUGUUGGGUUAAGUCCCGCAACGAGCGCAACCCUUAUGGUCAGUUACUACGCAAGAGGACUCUGGCCAGACUGCCGUUGACAAAACGGAGGAAGGUGGGGAUGACGUCAAAUCAUCAUGCCCUUUAUGACUUGGGCUACACACGUACUACAAUGGCGUUAAACAAAGAGAAGCAAGACCGCGAGGUGGAGCAAAACUCAGAAACAACGUCCCAGUUCGGACUGCAGGCUGCAACUCGCCUGCACGAAGUCGGAAUUGCUAGUAAUCGUGGAUCAGCAUGCCACGGUGAAUACGUUCCCGGGCCU
rnacentral:rRNA from 1 species